GCGGGAACUCCGCGCUGUGGGGAGCGGGCGGCGGCCAUUUUGGGGCGGGUCUUUUCUCGGCUCUGGGGCCCCCCGAGUCCUUCCUUUAUCUGCGUGGUUGUGCUCAGUUAUUUUCUCGGCUUGUAUCGACCAAGUGGUUCCUCAGCAUUUUGGAAUAACCUCCUGUAACAACACUUCAGAUACUCGAUGUGCCUUAUUAGUUCUACAAGGGAAUGCCUUCGGCCACUGUAAAAAGGUACAAAAAAAGGUUAGUACCAACAUACAGCGAUACCCCCACUUUUCUUGGGAGUUCUGAGAAAUCAACUUGCCAUUAUUGCCCUGGAAGGUUCUCUUUCCCAAUAGACCCAUUUGUACCCUGUUCCUGGUACUAGGAUACUUUGUAGUGUCUGUUUGCCCAACGUAUUUUCUUAUCUUCCCUUAAAACCAAUUUCCACAGAAUACUAAAGGACAUAACAGUGUGUCCAUCUGGGUGUGCACCCAUCUGUCAGCUUGCUCUCUUCCCUUCUAAAUCAUUAAUUACAUUCCUGUACUCUUCAGAAUAUUUUACAGGAUCUGACUCAGGUUCAGAGAUUUUAAGUUUCCCAUCUGGAAUUAAAGCCUUCUUCAACUACCUGUUCUGCCACCUGAUCCACCAUCUUAUUUCCAGUUUCCUGUACAGUGUUACCUUUCUGACAUCCUUUACAAUAUAUAAUGUUUAUAUAUUAUAUAAUGUAUAAUAGCCACGCUCUUUGGUAGAUUUACAUCUGCUGUUUUCCUUGUAUGUGAGCAAUCCUUGCUCUUUUCAGAUGGUGCUAUGAGCGUGUAGCACCCCAAAUACAUUAUUAGCAUCUGUCCAUAUAUUUAAGGCUCUUGUCAAGGCAGUUAUGUCAGCCUUCUGAGGGAAAGUUCCCAGAGGUAAUGGCUGUGCUUUGAUUACCUUCUCAGUAGCAGUUACUGCAUAUCCUGCCUUACGGUUUCUUUGUCUCACGAAACUGCUACUGUUGUCUUCUGCAACCUUCUACGGGUUUGUCCUUCAGGUCCAACCGGCUGGAAUGUGCAGCUUCAGUUGUUUCAAAGCAGACAAUGAAAUAGUGGUUCUCCAGGAGCUCUGCUAAGGAAAGGUUGAUAAUAUUAGUUACAAUUAUUUCUACAUCAUCCUGCUCUACCAGUCUGGCUUGGUAUUUCAGAAACCUUUGGGGUGAGAGCCAAUGCCCCCCUUUUACCUCCAAUACAGCAGACACUGUAUGAGAUAUUAAAACUGUUAUUCUUUGGCAUAGUGUAAAUUUACUGGCUUCUUGGAUAUUGAGCACUAGUGCAGCCACCACCCUCAAACACGCUGGCCAUCCCUUACUCACUUCAUCAAGCUGUUUGGAGAAGUGUGCCACUGCCCUUUGAUAGGGUCCAAGGUUCUUGGCAAGGACUCCCAAGGCUGUUCCUUGUUUUUCAUGCAAGAAGUGCCAAAAGUGCUGAUAGCCCCAAAGCAGGGGGCCUUCAUGAAUUCUUGUUUAAGCUGAUAGAAUGCCCUCUUUGCCUCCCCAUCAAAAGAGCAUAAAGGGGUUUACCAACGGUCCGCAGCUGUGCAUCCACAGUCAGCACCAUCCUGUCAUUCCUAGGAAUGUAUGGAGUUCUUGGCAGUUUGUGGCUCAGGGGUUUGGCAGAUGGCUUCUUUCCUGACAGUCCUAAGGUUUGACAUCCAGCUGUAAUCUCAUACAAAAUGAGCUAUUUGUGCUUUCUGUUGAGAAACUUGAUAAUCAUUUAAACCAAGAAACUCAGCAAACUCACAGUCCUUUGCACGCAAAGAACUUUGUUUCCAUGGCAUCCACGUACUGCAGUGAAGUGAAGUUUCACCCUGGGAUGGAGGAACCCAAGUCCCAGGUUCACGAGUUGACCAGUUCUCAAAAAUCAUUGAGCUGUUCUAGCAACCCUGGGUAACACUGUCCAGGUUAACUGAAUCUUUUGUCCCCAUAUUGGGGUUUUCUUAUUCAAAGGCAAAUAAUUUUAGACUUCCUUUGGCAAAACCAGGCAGAAAAAGGUGUCUUUCAAAUCCAGAAUGGCAAACCCCACCUACUCAUCCCUUAACUUGGUUAAUAAAAGGCAUGGAUUUGCCACCAUGGGUUGUAUAUCUUCAACGAUUCUAUUAAUUGCCCUCAAAUCUUGUACUAAGCUAUAGCUCUUGCCAUCCAAUUUUUCAUUGGCAAGAUUGGAGUGUUGUAUUUGGAUUUCUAUCCAAUUAAUAAUCCAAAAUCCAAAAAAGUGUUUAUUAUUUCUUUUAUCCUUCUACAACCUCGUAUCCUCAAAGGUCACUGCUUUACCCUGACUGGGCUGGCUUUUAUCUUUAACUUGACUUCUGCAUUUUUGGCUCUGCCAGGCAUUCCUGAUGCCUGCAACCCUGUGUAUACUGAUUUAGGAUUUACGUAACUUCUGAGGGUACAACAAUGCUUUUCCCAGUUUGUGUUAAAGCCAGACUUAACGUUUUCAUUCAGUUGGUCCUGCUUGACACUUAGCUCCAAUUUUCUUUACUGAAUUUAAUCUCUACAUUCAACUGCUCUAAUGCAUCAUGCCCAAGUAAUGUUUUUUGAGAACCUGGUAUAUGCAAGAAUUUAUAUAUUCCUACUUGUUCUCCUAGCCUGUAUUUGAUUGGUCCCCAAAAAGUAAACUUCUCUUGCGAGUAGCUCCUACAACUAUUACAAAAAUCAUCUACGGGUAAUAAUUCUUCAUGCAGCACAGAGUAAGAGGCAGCUGUAUCAGAAAAUAAACCUCUUUACCCUGCUUCCUCAGCUUCUUUCAGUCCAGUGGGGGUGGAACUCUCCCUGGGCCCUUCCAGGCUCCCCCUUACCUCUUCCCUGAGGGAAUCUCUGUGUCCUCAGGCCCUGUUCUAGUGCAGCAACAGUAACAGCUGCUGUUGAUCUUCCCAAUUUCCUUACUUGCCUGCUAUCUCUGUUUCUCAAUCAGUUUUUCCAGAUCCCUCGCCUCUCUUCUCAGUAAGGACAUCCCUGUUAUACCUUGCUCAACUUUGCCUCCCUCAGCCUUUGUCUUUCCCAAACCCUUUUCACUUUCCAAAUUUUCAUCAUUACAGAAGCUAUUAACAUUAUAUUUCAGUUUCACUCCCUCCUCUGCCCAGGCUUCCAGGGCUGACACUGGGAUAUCGGGUUUCCUUAGAUCUCUGCAGAUGAAGGCUAUUCUCACUUCCAGUGUUCCAUCCCAUCCACUCCCAGUUGUUCUUACAAGCCAUGUGGGGGGGUGGGGGGGCAGUGUUGGGUAUGUGUUCUUGUGCUGGUGCAAAAUCUGAUAUCCCAAACUCACUGUUUUCCUUAACUGUUUUGCCAUCCCCCCGACCAAUUUCACUAUCUGUACCCUCAAUUACAUUUCCACGUACCGUUCACAAUUGCAUUUCCAUGUACCAUCAAAACAGUUUCUCCCACUCCCUUCAAAAUCCAAAAACCAAACAAUAGAAUUCUUCAACUUCCACAAACACCCAGCGCUUGGUCUCAUGAUUAGGGUACUCAAUUAUAAAACUGGUCCCAUUACUCCAUUUAUGUUCCUGGUUUUCUUAUUAUUAUAUUCCCCCUGGCUCACCAGCAAUGUUUCUCCAGUGAGCCAAAAUACAACCCAGGGGGUCUUCUCAUAUCACUGUAGACACCUCUUGUUCCAUAAGAGCCUCUUAAGUAACACUUUAACAACAUAAACAGUGAACAAUCACAAAGACAGUGACAAUCUGUACAAUUUAUCCUCAGGAUCCUUCUUCUCUCUGCCUUCCUCCAGGGCCAACCUUCCCUCUGCAUUUCUUUCCCACACUUGCAUAGAUGCCCACCUAAUCACACCUCCUUCUUCUCCAAUAAACAACAUAUCAGUGAUAAACAUCAUUUCCAUCCAUGAGAAGAAAUUAGGCUCUAGAAAUUGAUCUAAUCGUUCUGCUACACUUACAAGGUCCUCAAUUAAGGAAUUCAUUUCCUUCUUGAAACUUCUAACUUUUCUGCUAGUAAGAUCAGCAGGCAUCAGCAUACCCUAUUUCCUUUGACCUAAAGAGACUUCCCUAAGAGGAUACAGUGAAGUAUUAGUAAGGUUAGUGUUAGAGAAAGGGAAACUCUCCAGGUCCCAUUCACAUUGCUCCAGCUCCCUCACUAAUUGAGAGUGCAUCCUCUCUCCAGCACCCUGCAUGGGAUCAGCAGCACGGCCUCUCCCCUUCUCUGGAGAGGGAGGUCACUGCAUCUUACAUUGCUUUAGAAAUCGAAGGGGGGGAAGUUAUCUAAGGGAUCCCAUUUAUGAUCUUUCUGCUUCUCCUUUUUCUUUUGAACUUCGACUCCUUCUUGUGAAGAACUGUUUUACUUCUUGCACCCAUUUAGCGGCAAAAGCCAGUUCUGUUUCAGAGAGUUUGCAUAUAAAGUCUGACAUGCCCAAUCUUUGUCAGACCCUUAUUUUGGUCAAAAUAAUGACUUUCCCUGUAGUGGCUCUCUAGGCUAUGUCUGUAUACAGUAUUUAAACAUCUUUUCCCUCUUCUUGUCCCUAGUUUUGGGAUUAUUUUCCAAUUCUGAAGCUUCUUUCCCAAGGGGCUAUCUCUAGGCACGAAUUUGGGGACCCUUUUCCCCUGUUCUUGGAAGCUCCUAUUCCCCAUCCCUCUGGAACACUGCUGUGAAUUCCCCAGCUCACAGGUUACCACACUCCAAUUCUCCCUCCAAUUCUCAGAUUCAGUAGGGCUGUACUGCUGCCACUUUGUCAAGUGCACAGGGUACCACACAGCAACAGCUUCCUGCUGAGACUCACCCUGACCCCCAAGGCAAGAAUUAAAUUCCAUUACCUUGGUCCGUGCACAAAGUUACUGGGUCUGCAGGGAUCAAUACUGUGCUUACCUGCCCCUUGGCUUUCACAUAUCCUGUCCUUUAUGCAACAGUAUCAGUUUCCUAUAGGCCAUCCCAAGGAGGCACCUCACCACCCAGACAAGACCACUGUAAUCAGCAGGGUGCACCUAUCCUGUCCAGAGCAGUAGGGGGACCCCGAAAGAGGUGACAGUAAUCCUGAACAAGCCCCCAAAUUGUUGGAAAUAUCCAAAUAAUUUUUGUCAGGAUGGUAUCUCUGAUAAAAGCAGAUUUUAUUCAUGAUUGCAAUGGCAGUUGUCUCACAAGCAGGAGCAUCCCUAAGGACACAAGGACAGCUUUUUGUACCUCAUUUCCCCCUCUUGUCUCCCCCCCCCUCCCCUGUUUCCCCAUUGGCUGGGUACUCCAGGUUCACAAUCUUAUCAAAGGUUUACAUGUGUUAAUUGCUUGCUAUACAGCAGUUGUUGGUAGCUUAUACAUGUACAUUGUUCAUUAUUUAACUUCUCCAAUUCUCUAUUACUCAGGUCUUGUCUGCUCAGCACCAAAUAUUAGUAAGGCUAAAGCUGGACAGACAGGAGCUGCAGUUUUUGUGCCUGUAAACCUACUGAGAUCAGGAAUUGAGUAAAGCAGGGCCACUCACAUAAGGGUUAAGUAGACUAAACUUAGAAAAACAAUAAGGGAAGACCAGCAGGACUUGUGGACCUCUUUGCAGUCAGGACCUUAUGUCUUGCAAUCUACCCCUUAUAAGGGGAAGAACAGCCUAAAGCAACUGAUUUUGACCAGUUUGAAUGGGGGGGCUAUUGUAAUGUAAAAAGGUCAGGCUGAGGAAGACCUCUGACUUCAUCCCCACGACCACCAGGUGGAGACCCUCCCUACGAACUGCACACGCAUCAGAGGGGGGGACAGCAAUGAGGUCGCAGAAAAACAAUGAAUAUGUAGAUGAGCUCCAAGGAAUCUUCUGAGUAUGUAUAAAAUCUGCUUGUAAAUCUGUACAGCUUUUGCUUGUUGGUGUGCAAAGUAGUUGGAAUGAUCCCCCUUGCACCCAACGUUUGCGCAUUCGCCGAAUAAAUCAUACCUGCUUUAUAACCUAAUCUCCAGGUUAUAGAGUUUGAUUCCACAAGUCACUACUCCAGCUACCUAAACUCUAUGAUUACAAAUUACUUUGCCUAUAUUUUGAGCAUGCAUUCCUGGGGAAGGUUCAUCUAAAAGAUAAGUGAUAAAAACUACCAGAGAUUCCCCAAAAGAACUAAAAGAACUAUGACAGCAGAGACCAUAAAAUAAAAAUUCUUAUAUUGUUCUAAUGCAGAAAAAACAUUUGAUUCCCACACUACUGCUAAGCAAACCAACCUGUAUCAGGUUGACAGUUGGUCUUGAUGCCCUUAGCAGCCUUUCUAACCCAAAUGAUACUAUGAUUUUGCCCCCAAGCUCUUAUUAACAGUAGAGGUUGCUGUGACCCAGGUGCAGCCCUUGCACGUGGUGUUGCUGAACCUACAAGAAUUGGAGCUAAGAAAUGUAAGAGUGCACCUGUGGACAUACAAUAUGACAGCUUUUGUACCUUGUCUCCCCCAAGCUUCCCCCCUCCCCUGUUUUCCCAUUCUCUGGGUACUCCAGGUUCACAAUCUUACUGAAAGUUUACAUCCGUUAAUUACAUUCUGACAGUUAGUUCACAGUCUGUCUUGUUGCCAUUCUGUUGUUUCCAGGAUGUCUCAGUACUCUCCUUAUCGUAUUGACAGGGUGAAUCUCUCCAAGGCCUCUUCCAUUCUGUCCAAAGGACGCUCCAUGUGUUAAACAAAGAGCACUGGGGGGUUAUCAGGUCUUCCCUUUGCUUCUUCAGGCAGGCAUGUUCCAAGUUGUAUCAAUCUCUUGUGCAGGAUAUUCUUGCAAUGUGUAGAGCAUGCAACAAGGUAUUACAUAUAUAUUCAUACUGACUAAACAUAAAUUUGCUAACUAUACAUUUAUAUUGCUAAUUAUUUAACUUCUCCUCCUUAAAUUUUCUAUCACUCAGGUCUUGUCUGUCCUGCACCAAAAAUUAGUAGUCUUCCAACAGAACGAGCCUAUUGAUAUCCUUGUCAAGUAUUUUUGAUUUGUAAAGGCAUUAUCACACUGUUUAGGAGUGGGAUGUUUAACUUUUCUUUAGCUCAAGGCUCAGAAGUAUUCCAGAUGGCUGGACAGACAAGAGCUGCAGUCUUUGUACCUAUACAUUACCCCAUUACCUCAUCUCUGUGACUCAGGUGUAUAUGCCCGUUCAUCAGUUAGCUCCUUUCCUUCUAUAUCAUUAAUUAAAUCCCUAUCCUCUCUAGAAUACUUUGCAGGUUCUGAUUCAGGUUUGGAGAUUUGAAGUUUACCGUCUGGAAUUAAAGUUAGUACAGUGAUUUCUUUUCCUUCAGUUGCCUGUUUUGCCACCUUAUUUCCAGUCUCCUGUACAGUGUUACCUUUCUGAUGUCCUCUGCAGUAUCUAAUAGCCACUCUGGUAGAUUUAGAGCUUCCCAUAGAUGCAGGAUUUCCUUGGCAUGCUUAAUUUGUUUUCCUUGUGCUGUGAGCAAUCCUGGCUCUUUCCAGAUGGCACCCUUAGCAUGUACCACCCUAAAUGCAUAUUUAGAAUCUGUCCAUACGUUUAUGCUUUUUCCUCUUGCCAACUCUAAAGCUCUUGUCAAGGCAGUUAUUUCAGCCUUCAGAGCAGAAGUCCCCACGGGUAAUGGUUGUGCUUUGAUUACCUUGUCAGUAGUAGCUACUGCAUAUCCUUGUCUCACAAAACUGCUUCGUCUGUGAAGCAGGAAUCCUCAGCAUGAUCCAAUGGUUCCGCCUUUGGGUCCGGCCCACUGGCACAGGCAGUCUCCAUGCUUUCCAAGCAGUCGUGCACUACUGGCUCAGAGGUGGCUCCCUGAGGAAAGAUGCUGCGUUCACAGUGAGAGAAUAACCAAAAUGGUUUUGUACUGUCCAGGAGGCCUAGGGCUGGAGCUCUCAUUGGUUCCUUCUUCAAUUCUUCAAAUGCCCUCUUUGCCUCACCAGUCCAUGUCAGCACAGACUGAUUAUUUUUCAGUAAUUCAUAUAAAGGUUUUACCAAAGGCCCAUAAUUAUAGAUCCAUAGUCUGCACUAACCUGUCAUGCCAAGGAAGGUUCUGAGAUCUUUUACCAUCUGCAGUCUGGGUGUUCAGCAAAUCACUUCCUUUUGUUCUGUUUCAACUUCUCUUUGUCCUCCCAGGAUCUCAAAUCCAAGGUAAAUCACCUGCUGCUGAAUUCACUGAGCUUUCUGUUGAGAAACUCGAUAACCAUUUAAACCAAGAAAAUUAAACAUGCUCACAGUCCACUAUACACAGUCCUCUUGUUAUUGUGGCAGUGAGGAGGUCGUCCACGUAAUGCAAUAAAGUUCCACUUGUGAGUGGAGGGCCCAAGCUCUGAGCUCACGAGCCAGCUGGUUCCCAAGAACUGUAGGCUGUUCUUAAGACCCUGGGUAACACUGUCCAGGUUAACUGAGCCCUCCCAGUAUUGGGGUUUUCCAAUUCAAAGACAAGUAACUUUGCACUUUCUUUGGCUAAAGCCAGGCAAAAGAAGGCAUCCUUCAAAUCCAGGACGGUAAACUACACCUGCUCAUCCCUCAGCCUGGUUAAUAAAGGGUACAGAUUUACCACCCUAUAUCUUCAGCCAUCCUAGUGAUGGCCAUCAGAUCCUGCACCAAGCAACAGCUCUUGCUGUUUGACUUUACACCAGCAAGACUGGGAUGUUAGAGUCAGAUUCACAUUCAGUUACUAAUCCAAACUCCAGAAAGUUAUCUGUUAUUACUUUUAUUCCUUUAUGAUCUUGUAUCCUCAAAAUGUGCUGCUUUACCCUGACAGGGCUGGCUCAUGUUUUUAACUUAUCAGGGCUGCAUUUUUGGUUCUGCUUGGCAUCCCUGACAUCCACACACCUAAAUGUUCCUCAUUCAGGAUUUCCAUAAUUUCUGGGGAUAUCACAUUGUUCUUCCCAAUCUGUGUGAAAGCCAGGUUUAAAAUUUCAAUCAAUUGGUUUUCCUUGACCCCUAGCUCCAAUUUUCCUUUGUUGUAUUUAAUCUCUGCAUUCUAUUGUUCUAAUAAGUCUCACCUGAGUAACAGUGUCAGAGAACCUGGCUUGUACAAGGAUUUAUGUAUUCCUGCUUGCUUUUCCAUUCUGUAUUUAAUUGGUUUUGAAGAGUAGCCUUUUCUGGUUGUCCCUGGAUAAAUUAAUUGAGGAGGCUCCCACUACUGUUACAAUAUCAGCAUCUACGGGUGAUACUUCUUCAUUUAGCACAGAGUAAGAGGCACCCGUAUCCACCAGAAUAUUAACUUCCUACCCUGCUCCCCUAGCUGCAAUGUAACCAGGGGGUCUGCUAGGGUAGACUCCCCUGGUUCCUGUCAUCCCUGCCAUCAGGGAUGGUUCCUCCCCCUCAGCCUGGGACAGCUUCUCCACCAGUGUCCCAUUUCCCUGCAGUUUGCACACUGAUUCUGGUCCAGUGGGGGAUGAAACCCUUCCUGGACCCUUCCAGAACCCCCUCUGCCUCUUCCUUGUGGUGGUCUCUGGGUCCCCACAUCAUGCUCUAGUGCUAUUCUUCUUCUCAGUUUCUUUCUUUCCUUUCUAUCCCUGUUUCUAUACACUCUCCAGGCCUCCUCAAUUAAUUUAUCCAGGCCCAUUAAUUCUGAUGCUUUUAGCCUCUGAAGUUCCUUCCUGAUAUCCUCAGAGGAUUGGCUCAGAAACAAUGAUGCCAACAUGCGUUGCCCGCUAUCUGAUGAGGGAUCCAAAAGAGUAUAUUUUCUCAUGGCAGACCUGAGAUUAUCCAAAAAUUCAGUAGGGGUUUCGGUCUGCCCCUGUUUGACUGCAUAUACAGCUGACCAGUUUGCUGCUGGUAGUGGGAUUGCAUUCUCUAAACCAAGUUUUAUCCACUCUCUGUAUUGCUUUAACAGCUGAUAUUCGGCAGGAUCAUUUGGGUUCCAUUUAGGAUCUUCUAAGGGGAUGUAUUGUUCAAGCCUUCCCCACAGGGCACCAGCAAUGAUUCGUGCCUGCACUUGAGUCUGAGCACUCCUCAAUACCAGCUGCUUUUCUGGUUCAGACAUGAAAUCGAGCAUUAUGUCUAUAUCCCUCCAAUUAAGAUCCUGAUUUUUAACAAUCAACUCAAACCUUUUUGCCACCCCUGAGGGAUCAUUCCCGUAACUUUUCACUGCUUCCUUCCAGCUAUCCAAAUCACUUGUAGAGAAUGGGGCCUUGAUUUUCACUGGUCCCUUUGGUCCUACAACCUGCAUUAGAGGUGCCAGUAUUACAGGUUCCUUUUUGCUGCCAUUUCUUGUAGUGAUUUGAGAACCCCCCCCGGCUGCUCCUGCCUCCUUUCGAUCUGCCUUUGCUUCCUGUUCUUCCUCAUCUGAGAAUCCCUUCUGCUUCUCAGCCUGCGGAGACACAUCGUCUUCUAAUCUUUCCUUUCCACCUCCAUUUCUCAGACACUUCUCUCCUAUGCUGCAAGCUGAGCAACACUGCUUUAACGUUCCAUUAGGCCUCUUCUGCUCUUUCUCUAGAGCCAGCACUAAAGGACGCUGUGGAGCCCAGUUAAUUCUACAUCCUUUCUGCCAUUCAGGGUGGUUUCGUAAAGUGAAAAACAUAUCGGCAUAUGGCACCUCGUCCCAUUUCCCUUCUCUCCUCAAAAACAACAUAAGUUCCAGCAUAGUCUUAUAAUUCAGAGUUCCAUUAAACGGCCACCUUUCCUGAGAUUCCAGCUUAUACGAUGGCCAGCACUGGUUACAGUAUUUGAUCAGAGUUUUCUUGUUUAUGUUUCCCCCAGGAGGUCCCCCAAUAUCCCUCCAAUGAGCCAGCACACAUCCCAGGGGGCUCUGCUUCACAAUUCCCUUGCUCUGUUUGCCACCCAUUAUAUGCAGUUCAGAUGAACGUACACUUAGCAGAAUCACUGUUACAAAGAUGCCUCAAACUCCACCGAUUCUAAUUCCGUAUACCAUUAAAACAAUUUAUCCAACUCCCUCCAGAAAUUACAAGUAAAGCAGUGAAGCUAUUGCCUAAAGUUCUGAUCUACCCAGCACUGAGCCCCACAAAUGGGACACUUGCUUAUAGGAAUGGGUCCUGUUGUUGUGUACCCGCUUCCUUAGGCAUUAAGCAGAAUACAAUACGUUGAACAAAGCAAAAAGUUACAGAAGCUGAAUUUCAAAACCCAUACAUGACCAGCAAGACACAACCUACAGCUGGGUAUUUUCCAAAUGUCUACCAACCCGCUCUAUGCCAACCCUGCGACCUCAGCCAGCUCACGGCUGGCUUCCAAUGGUCCCCAAAGCAGCCCCGCAAUCUCGGCUGGCUCACGGAGCAGCCUCCAAUGAACCAGUCCCAGAACUUGAAAGCAAAGAAUACCUUUGUCAGAUGUUCCCUGUCUGCUCCCGCAGCGAUCCGAUUGAGGCGAGGAGUCCCUCCAGAGAACUCUCCAGGGGUGCCCAGGGAGUCCUGUUCUCAACGGGUCCUGCAGCUGAGCAGAGAUGUUCCCAUCUGCAGUGCCCAACUGGCUCAAAGAAUCGCAGCGAGGAACUGAGCAGCCAAGUUUUGUUACUGUUAAGCAGGCUCCGGAUGAAGCCGCUCUGACCGCGCUGGCACAGACCCUGCAGCAGCACAGCAUUGACCACGAGGUGUGGACAGAGCAGCCUGA